rnacentral:rRNA from 1 species
CCUACGGGUGGCAGCAGUGAGGAAUAUUGGUCAAUGGACGAGAGUCUGAACCAGCCAAGUAGCGUGAAGGAUGACUGCCCUAUGGGUUGUAAACUUCUUUUAUAAAGGAAUAAAACGAGGCACGUGUGCCUUUUUGCAAGUACUUUAUGAAUAAGCAUCGGCUAACUCCGUGCCAGCAGCCGCGGUAAUACGGAGGAUCCGAGCGUUAUCCGGAUUUAUUGGGUUUAAAGGGAGCGUAGAUGGGUAGUUAAGUCCGUGGUGAAAGUUUGCGGCUCAACCGUAUAAUUGCAGUUGAAACUGGCAGUCUUGAGUGAAGGUGAGGUAGGCGGAAUGCGUGGUGUAGCGGUGAAAUGCAUAGAUAUCACGCAGAACCCCGAUUGCGAAGGCAGCUUACUAAACUGUAACUGACACUGAUGCACGAAAGUGUGGGUAUCAAACAGGAUUAGAUACCCGGGUAGUC